AUGAAGUUACACAACACAUUCUUUCUUUACCUUGGGCAUAUGUUGGUAUCAACUAUUAUUUGGUCACCCACUAUCCUCAUAUACACCGCGCACAAUAUAGGCAGACAAAAAGAACGACUUGGCUUUCUACCCAAACCAGGAUCUACUGCAAAAACAAAACAAACAAAAGGUACAAUACUCCCUGUAUUGGAACUCUUCCACCCCCCAAAAUGGUCAAGGAAUGCAAACACGUGUACACAAAUGCUCUUCCUCAACCGUUGUUGAGUUGUUUGAUCCUCACCCAGGAAGCGUUGCGGAAAGGCACCUGACGGAUCCUCACCUUCGCGCCACUAUCAACCCAGGCAGACAGCAAAGCCUUAAGACACCCGCCGAUCCAGAGAACAUCGUGUGUCUACUACACCAGGCGCAUUAAUUAAAGACCCUAUCAAUUCACCUGCCACACUUCCCCGCAAGGCGAUUAAAAGUGUUGCUAAAAGGAAGGAUUUCCACCACCACCACCACUCCCAACGCCACUCCCACGCCCACCCCUUGCCAUCCUCCACCUGUGGCUGCUAGAAAAGAGUAACCUCUAAUUCUGGGGAACUGGGAAAGGGGGGAGUGGGAGAGUUGCGCUCAGGGGGGAGACACGAAGGCUUAUGGAGACAGGGGGAAGGCUAAGAGGAAGCGGGUCCAUCGUCUGUCC
rnacentral:lncRNA from 1 species